CGGCUAGGACCCGUACGCCAUAUGAGCGUGUGAGCGUUUUCCGGUGGGCGCGGGCGCUCGCUGGUGUGCGAUGUUGCGAGGGCGUGAUCGCCAAUUCUUCCACCGUUAACAACACCAUUACAACGGCCAUUUGUUGUGCCAGAAUGGCGCCAAAAUGCGCAUGAAAGCCGCAUACAGUAACCCAGGAAGAUGAAGAUGA
rnacentral:lncRNA from 1 species